UACGUAGGGUGCAAGCGUUGUCCGGAAUUAUUGGGCGUAAAGAGCUCGUAGGCGGCUUGUCGCGUCUGCCGUGAAAGUCCGGGGCUCAACUCCGGAUCUGCGGUGGGUACGGGCAGACUAGAGUGUUGUAGGGGAGACUGGAAUUCCUGGUGUAGCGGUGAAAUGCGCAGAUAUCAGGAGGAACACCGAUGGCGAAGGCAGGUCUCUGGGCAUUAACUGACGCUGAGGAGCGAAAGCAUGGGGAGCGAACAGG
rnacentral:rRNA from 1 species